AUCGUCCUACGGGAGGCAGCAGUGGGGAAUAUUGGGCAAUGGGCGCAAGCCUGACCCAGCAACGCCGCGUGAAGGAAGAAGGCUUUCGGGUUGUAAACUUCUUUUAUGAGGGACGAAACAAAUGACGGUACCUCAUGAAUAAGCCACGGCUAACUACGUGCCAGCAGCCGCGGUAAUACGUAGGAGGCAAGCGUUAUCCGGAUUUACUGGGUGUAAAGGGCGUGUAGGCGGGACUGCAAGUCAGAUGUGAAAAUUAUGGGCUC
rnacentral:rRNA from 1 species